AGCGAACGCUGGCGGCGUACUUAACACAUGCAAGUCGAACGAGGAUCGCCGAGUUAGCAAUAACUCUGUGAUUCUAGUGGCGCACGGGUGAGUAACACGUGGGUAACCUGCCCUUGAGAUCGGGAUACCCCCUCGAAAGGGGGGCUAAUACCGGAUACGUUCCUCGGAUCGAAAGGUCUGGGGAGGAAAGGUGGCGCAAGCUGCCGCCCAUGGAGGGGCUCGCGGCCUAUCAGCUAGUUGGCGGGGUAACGGCCCACCAAGGCUAUGACGGGUAGCUGGUCUGAGAGGACGACCAGCCACACGGGGACUGAGACACGGCCCCGACUCCUACGGGAGGCAGCAGUGGGGAAUUUUCCGCAAUGGGCGAAAGCCUGACGGAGUGACGCCGCGUGUGGGACGAAGGCCUUCGGGUCGUAAACCACUGUCAGUGGGAAAGAUGGGUGUCGGCGCGAUAACCGUCGGCACUUGACGGUACCUGCAGAGGAAGCCCCGGCUAACUC
rnacentral:rRNA from 1 species